rnacentral:lncRNA from 1 species
CGUCCGCCUUGUUCAGGUAAACCACGACGUGCUGGACACCCACCUGUGCAGGUGAGACAGGUGAGUCACACCUGAACCUGAACCUGAACCUGAACCUGGACCUGAACCUGGGUCCGGCACCGCAUUCACCUUGUUCAGGUAAACAACAACGUGCUGGACACCCACCUGUGCAGGUGAGACAGGUGAGGGGUCACACCUGAACCUGAACCUGAACCUACACCUGAACCUGAACCUGGGUCUGAACCUGAACCUGAACCUGAACCUACACCUGAACCUGGGUCUGACACCGCAUUCACCUUGUUCAGGUAAACCACGACGUGCUGGACACCCACCUGUGCAGGUGAGACAGGUGAGACAGGUGAGGGGUUACACCUGAACCUGAACCUGGAUCUGAACCUGAACCUGGAUCUGAACCUGGACCUGGGUCUGACGCUGUUCACCUUGUUCAGGUAAACCACGACGUGCUGGACACACCUGGACAGGUGAGAUUGGACAGGUGAGACACACCUGAACCUGAACCUGGGUCUGAACCUGGAUCUGAACCUACACCUGGAUCUGGCACCGCGUUCACCUUGUUCAGGUAAACCACCACGUGCUGGACACACCUGGACAGGUGAGAUUGGACAGGUGAGUCACACCUGAACCUACACCUGAACCUGGACCUGAACCUGGACCUGAACCUGAACCUGGAUCUGAACCUACACCUGGACCCAACCCCCAACAGCUCCGGGUCCGGCACCGCGUCCGCCUUGUUCAGGUAAACAACGACGUGCUGGACACACCUGGACA